CGUACACUCCUGCGGGAGGCAGCAGUGGGGAAUAUUGCACAAUGGGCGCAAGCCUGAUGCAGCCAUGCCGCGUGUAUGAAGAAGGCCUUCGGGUUGUAAAGUACUUUCAGCGGGGAGGAAGGCGAUAAGGUUAAUAACCUUGUCGAUUGACGUUACCCGCAGAAGAAGCACCGGCUAACUCCGUGCCAGCAGCCGCGGUAAUACGGAGGGUGCAAGCGUUAAUCGGAAUUACUGGGCGUAAAGCGCACGCAGGCGGUCUGUCAAGUCGGAUGUGAAAUCCCCAGGCUCAACCUGGGAACUGCAUUCGAAACUGGCAGGCUAGAGUCUUGUAGAGGGGGGUAGAAUUCCAGGUGUAGCGGUGAAAUGCGUAGAGAUCUGGAGGAAUACCGGUGGCGAAGGCGGCCCCCUGGACAAAGACUGACGCUCAGGUGCGAAAGCGUGGGGAGCAAACAGGAUUAGAAACCCUUGUAGUCC
rnacentral:rRNA from 1 species